GAAGGGGAAGAAAGUUCGUGAGUGAGCUUCACGCAGCCAGUAUAGGCAGAGCGGACUAGAAGAAGGGGGAAUAACGGAGAGUGAGGUUCCCGUCCGCAUCACUCCACAUUCUUCUUUUCUCUCCCAUUCUUCCCUACUAUUUUUUUUUCUUGUUUAUUUCAGGCCUUUUUUUCUUUCAUAUCUUUGCUAUUCGUUCUUUAGCGCCUCCUUUUUGUUUUCCCCACAAAAAAGAAAAAAUUCCCAAAACGAGGAAAACUGGAAAACCUUCUAACCAAACCAAAGAGCAGCACAAGUGUGUGUGAGAGAGAAAACCGUGCGGUGGAAUACGGUCGGAGUUUUUUUUUUUUUUUUCUUGCGUCUCAUUUAUUUCUCUCUCCAUUUUCCUUCUUUCCCUUUUCUCGUUCGCUCGCUCUUUUUUUUUUUACGGAUUUUGUUCACGAAACGUCCCGCCUCCCCCCUCCGACUUCGCUCGGACUGGCAGUCGUCAGUCGGUGUAUGUGUGCGUGCGAGUGCUGUGCGUGCCGUCUGCUUGCGCGCCGUAUGUGCCGUGUGUGAGUGUGUGACUCGCAAGACGAGAUUCUGAUCGUGCAGAGGAAUUUUCCAUAAGGAGGAGGGAGGGGACAAAAGAAAAACGGGCCAGUUGACUGCGUCGUCCGUCGAAAGACGUGACCUGCUGUCGGGUUCGUGUCAUGCAACGUCAUCUCGAUUCCGACGGGAAGACCGAUUAAAAAAACAAGAAACAAGAAGAGGCAGGAUGUCGCCGCCGGAUGUCGUCUGGUCCGUCUGAAA